rnacentral:rRNA from 1 species
UACGGGGGGGAGCAAGCGUUGUUCGGAUUUACUGGGCGUAAAGGGCGCGUAGGCGGCGCGGUAAGCGUGCGGUGAAAGCCCGGGGCUCAACCCCGGGUCGGCCGUGCGGACUGCCGGGCUGGAGCACUGUAGAGGCAGGUGGAAUUCCGGGUGUAGCGGUGGAAUGCGUAGAGAUCCGGAAGAACACCGGUGGCGAAGGCGGCCUGCUGGGCAGUAGCUGACGCUGAAGCGCGACAGCGUGGGGAGCAAACAGG